GAUGAACGCUGGCGGCGUGCCUAAUACAUGCAAGUCGAGCGAAUGGAUUAAGAGCUUGCUCUUAUGAAGUUAGCGGCGGACGGGUGAGUAACACGUGGGUAACCUGCCCAUAAGACUGGGAUAACUCCGGGAAACCGGGGCUAAUACCGGAUAACAUUUUGAACAGCAUGGUUCGUAAUUGAGAGGCGGCUUCGGCUGUCACUUAUGGAUGGACCCGGGUCGCAUUAGCUAGUUGGUGAGGUAACGGCUCACCAAGGCAACGAUGCGUAGCCGACCUGAGAGGGUGAUCGGCCACACUGGGACUGAGACACGGCCCAGACUCCUACGGGAGGCAGCAGUAGGGAAUCUUCCGCAAUGGACGAAAGUCUGACGGAGCAACGCCGCGUGAGUGAUGAAGGCUUUCGGGUCGUAAAACUCUGUUGUUAGGGAAGAACAAGUGCUAGUUGAAUAAGCUGGCACCUUGACGGUACCUAACCAGAAAGCCACGGCUAACUACGUGCCAGCCGCCGCGGUAA
rnacentral:rRNA from 1 species